rnacentral:rRNA from 1 species
CCCUUAGAUGCUCUGGGCCGCACGCGCGCUACACUGGUCGAUGCAACGAGUUUCUUUCCUUGGCCGACAGGCCUGGGCAAUCUUUGAACAUCGAUCGUGAUCGGGAUAGAUUCUUGUAAUUUUUGAUCUUAAACGAGGAAUUCCUAGUAAACGCAAGUCAUCAGCUUGCAUUGAUUACGUCCCUGCCCUUUGUACACACCGCCCGUCGCACCUACCGAUUGAAUGGUCCGGUGAAAUCUCCGGACUGGCGUGAGUCGGAGCAAUCUGACAAACACCGGAAAGUUGAUUAAACCUUACCAUUUAGAGGAAGGUGAGNUCGUANCA